rnacentral:rRNA from 1 species
CAGUCGAGCGAGCGGAACCAACAGAUUUACUUCGGUAAUGACGUUGGGAAAGCGAGCGGCGGAUGGGUGAGUAACACGUGGGGAACCUGCCCCUAAGUCUGGGAUACCAUUUGGAAACAGGUGCUAAUACCGGAUAAUAAAGCAGAUCGCAUGAUCAGCUUUUGAAAGGCGGCGUAAGCUGUCGCUAAGGGAUGGCCCCGCGGUGCAUUAGCUAGUUGGUAAGGUAACGGCUUACCAAGGCGACGAUGCAUAGCCGAGUUGAGAGACUGAUCGGCCACAUUGGGACUGAGACACGGCCCAAACUCCUACGGGAGGCAGCAGUAGGGAAUCUUCCACAAUGGACGCAAGUCUGAUGGAGCAACGCCGCGUGAGUGAAGAAGGUUUUCGGAUCGUAAAGCUCUGUUGUUGGUGAAGAAGGAUAGAGGUAGUAACUGGCCUUUAUUUGACGGUAAUCAACCAGAAAGUCACGGCUAACUACGUGCCAGCAGCCGCGGUAAUACGUAGGUGGCAAGCGUUGUCCGGAUUUAUUGGGCGUAAAGCGAGCGCAGGCGGAAAAAUAAGUCUAAUGUGAAAGCCCUCGGCUUAACCGAGGAACUGCAUCGGAAACUGUUUUUCUUGAGUGCAGAAGAGGAGAGUGGAACUCCAUGUGUAGCGGUGGAAUGCGU